UACAGAGGGUGCAAGCGUUAAUCGGAAUUACUGGGCGUAAAGCGUGCGCAGACGGUUGCGUAAGUCAGAUGUGAAAGCCCCGGGCUCAACCUGGGAAUGGCCGUUGAAACUGGCGAACUGGAGUGUGGCAGAGGGGGGUGGAAUUCCGCGUGUAGCAGUGAAAUGCGUAGAGAUGCGGAGGAACACCGAUGGCGAAGGCAGCCCCCUGGGCUGACACUGACGCUCAGGCACGAAAGCGUGGGGAGCAAACAGG
rnacentral:rRNA from 1 species